rnacentral:lncRNA from 1 species
ACACAAUUACUGACCCACUGCCAAACCGGUCAUGCUGGAGGAUGUUGCAGGCAGCAGAACGUUCUCCACGGCGUCUCCAGACUCUGUCACGUCUGUCACAUGUGCUCAGUGUGAACCUGCUUUCAUCUGUGAAGAGCACAGGACGCCAGUGGCGAAUUUGCCAAUCUUGGUGUUCUCUGGCAAAUGCCAAACGUCCUGCAUGGUGUUGGGCUGUAAGCACAACCCCCACCUGUGGACGUCGGGCCCUCAUAC